rnacentral:rRNA from 1 species
GAUGAACGCUGGCGGCGUGCCUAAUACAUGCAAGUCGAGCGAACAGAUGAGGAGCUUGCUCCUCUGACGUUAGCGGCGGACGGGUGAGUAACACGUGGAUAACCUACCUAUAAGACUGGGAUAACUUCGGGAAACCGGAGCUAAUACCGGAUAAUAUAUUGAACCGCAUGGUUCAAUAGUGAAAGACGGUUUUGCUGUCACUUAUAGAUGGAUCCGCGCCGCAUUAGCUAGUUGGUAAGGUAACGGCUUACCAAGGCAACGAUGCGUAGCCGACCUGAGAGGGUGAUCGGCCACACUGGAACUGAGACACGGUCCAGACUCCUACGGGAGGCAGCAGUAGGGAAUCUUCCGCAAUGGGCGAAAGCCUGACGGAGCAACGCCGCGUGAGUGGUGAAGGUCUUCGGAUCGUAAAACUCUGUUAUUGGGGAAGAACAAAUGUGUAAGUAACUAUGCACGUCUUGACGGUACCUAAUCAGAAAGCCACGGCUAACUACGUG